GACAAUGUGGUGUUGUGGUUUGAGCACUGGACUAUGAUUCUGGACCCGGGUUCAAAUCCCCGCUCAGCCA